GUCAUAGUCCUUAUUGUCACUUACAAGCCCUUCUGCUGAAGGGCUCUUGGUUUUGCAGGAACUUCCCAAACAUUCUGAAUAAAAACUCAAUAUAACUACAUCCACAAGAAACCAUACCAGGGAUGUUAAGAGUAUAACCCUGCAUGUUAAAACAGUCUGCUCAUUACCAGCACUAUUUUAAAAUAUCACAGCAAAGAAAAAUUGGAAAAUUCUGUUCUGGUCUUGUAAACUGAAAGUGAGAAAAAUGUAAACAAACUUAUUAACGUUAAGAGACUUUGGCGAGGGGUCACAUCGCAUGAACAAGAGUGGCAACAAGUUGCAGAUGAUUUUAAACAGAUGUGGCAAUUCGACAACUGCAUGGGAGCGAUGGACAGAAAGCAUAUCACUAUUAAAAAACCAGCCAAAAGUGGAUCAUUUUAUUUUAACUACAAAUGUACUUUUAGCGUUGUGUUAUUUGUAAUUGUCAAUGCAAAUUACGAGUUUUUAUAUGUUCACACGGGUACCAAUGGACGGGUAUCAGAUGGAGGAAUAUGGAGUCAAACAGGAAUUUACAAACGUUUAAUGUCAAACAAGUUAAAUAUACCGAAAUAAACUAAACUUUCUGACAGUAAUGACUUAGUGCCUUAUGUUUUUAUUGGAGAUGAGGCAUUUCCGCUAAUGAAGAAUUUAUUGAAGCCAUACCCGCAGAGCGGAAUAACUCAUGCUGAAAAAAUUUUUAACUACAAGUGUUGAAACAGUAGAUGAUAUCGUCCUUGCGCGCUGUGCACUUUACAACUUUUUGAAUUGGAAUGGAGACAAACUACUAAUUUACUAAAUCUAGAAAAAAUUGCAGCAAAAAAUUCAAGUAAUGCCUCAAAAAAAGUAAGAGAUUCUUAUAAAAAAUAUUUCAAUACUAAUUGAAAAACUACAUUCCAAGAAAAAAUGAUUUCAUAGGUAACAUCGUAAUAUGUAAAUUUUUCUUAUUUAUGUGAAUAGUUGUUAUUCUUAUCCUAAAAUAAACUGAAGUUGGAAUUUA